rnacentral:piRNA from 1 species
UCUCAACCGUUAUGACUCAUGUACUCUCUG